rnacentral:rRNA from 1 species
CAUAGCUUUAAGAAAUUAUUUAAAGUAAAGUCUGCCCAGUGAAAAUUUUUAAACGGCUGUGCUUGCACAUUAAAGUAGCGUGGUAGUUUGUCUCCUAAUUAGGGACUUGUAUGAAUGGCAUAACGGAAUCUAGCUGUCUUUUUUCUUAAAAUUGAAAUUUAUCUUUAAGUGAAAAAUCUUAAAUUAACUAGAAGGACGAGAAGACCCUAUAGAGUUUUAUAGCACUCUCAAUCUUAUUGUAGAUAUAGAUUGAGAUACUAUUUUGUUGGGGCAACCAUGGAGCAUCUAAAACUCCAUAUAAAAUAACUACCGUUAGGUAAAUAAUCCUUAAAAAGAAUUAAUAAAAAUUACCUUAGGGAUAACAGCGUAAUAUCCCUUGAGAGACCUAAUCGAAUGGGAGGAUUGCGACCUCGAUGUUGGACUAAGGCAUCCUUAUGGUGUAGCAGCUAUAAAAGGUAGGCCUGUUCGGCCUUUAAGCCUUACAUGAUCUGAGUUCAGACCGGA